rnacentral:lncRNA from 1 species
AUUGACAACUCAAGGCUUCAUUCUACAGAGAAUGAAGUAUUACCUGAAUUCCAUGUUGUGGCUGAAGCAAAAGAAGGGUAUAUGGUGAGUGGCUGUAGGUUGGGGAAAGGGAAAUGUUGUAUCGCUGUAGAAUCAUCGAAAGAGCAAUCUUUGUUUCUGUCAUUGCAAAGCUCAUACCGACACAAGAUCGAGGUCCCAAUCCAAAGGGAGCAUAUGCAGCUGCAUUAUGUUUGGUGGCAUUUGCAGUCCCUUCUGCGAAUCUCUCAGGUUUGAAGAGAUUGACAUCAUCUCCCCAUAACUGAGGGUCAUGGUGAAGUGCCACGAUUGGAACAACCAACUGUAAAUCAGCUGGCAGGAUGAGCUUUCCCAAUUGAACUUCAUUUUCAACUGUUCUUGCCAUGCCACUUACAGGGGGAUAUAGUCUUAAAGUUUCAUUAAUGAUCAUAGUCAUCUGUAUGCAGCAGAAGAGGAAUAAACAUAUCAAAUCUAUUCUGAUUUUCAAAAAUUCAAUCUACUAAAUGUUCAGUGAUGUGUCCAAGCAGAAGGAUUAGACUUGCUUACAGUCUUUAGUCUGCCAAUGCCUUCAGAAUGUGGAUUUUGGUUACCAAAGACCUCAAUCACCUCUCGUCUUGCUUUCUCCUGCCAAUCUGGAUUGAUUGCCAAAAGCAAGACUGUCCAUGCAAGUGCAGAAUUAGUAGUUUCCUGUCCAGCAAAGUAAAAUGUCUUGCAUUCAUCUACCAAAUCUUGUACUGAUAGCCUGUUCUUCUUGUCUGCGUCAUGGUAAGCAUUUACAAGUAAUCCAAGAAAAUCAGUGCCAAAGCUGUUGGCUUCUCCAUUAACUACUUUCUCUUCUCGUUUCUUAACUACCUCCAUCACAGAAUUGUGUAUUCCUUUUACAAGUUUGUCUGAUUCAAUUUCAUCAGCAGUUUUACAGAAGUUACUGCAAAGGCGAAACAAAUUUCCAACAACAUAUGAAGGCAAAAUAAAACAAAAAUCCACCUAGCUAUACAAGAGUAGUUUAACCAUUUGGGCAAAAGCUGCAUAAUAUGACUUCUAGUUAGUCUCCUUUCUCAUUAAAUCAGAAAUAACCUUAAGAGGAACUUACCUAAUGACAGGAAACUUAGUUUUAAACAGGUUUCUGUUUGUCAAGACAGACAACUUCAACAACAUGUCAAAAAUCUUUUUCCCAUCUAAGUAACUGCUACCAAAAGCUGUUCUUGAUAUGACUUCUGAAGUCAACAACCUAAAUUCUUCAAACACCUCAAUUUCUUUGCCUUCAAAUUGUUUCCACCUUUCCAGCAUGGUCUCAACACUAGCAAUCACUGCUGGUGUCAUGCUCUGCCAAAACCAUCACCCACACUUAUGAGUAACUUACACUUUGCCAGGAUUUGGUGCUUCUCUAAUGCAUUAAAUUCACAAAAACAUGAUCUAAAUAUGAAGUAUCUUACAUCAACACAUCUAUGACAAAAAUAAUUGUAGUAUUGGAUCAGAAGUUUACUUUUAAGCUGUCCCCAUGGAAAGCAUAAUUGGCCAACUUCCUUUGCCUUGCCCAUUUCUCACCUUCGGAUGUCACAAGCCCAUCCCCUAGUAUCUUAAGAGCGAACUCCUCGUCAUUCCACUUCCUUUCUCUACUUGUCCUUUUUGGAAAAGCUUUUUCACUACUUUUCAACACCUCUUUGACAAGCUCAGGCUCUGUGAUAAACAGUUGAGCUCUAGUGCCUGCCCAGGAAAGAUAGUUUUUCCCUAAUCCCACAGAAACAAAAGAACGUUAAUCUGUUUCUUAAAAAAAGGGUCUUAAAAUUAAAUGGGGGAAUUUAAUCUUACCAUAUGAGUUGAUCCGUGAAUAAACUGGAGGAUUGACUCUGGGCAAAAUAUCAUGUGAUAAAUUAGCCAUAGGCUUGCUUAAUGCGUCCCGUGUCAUUCUUUCGGUCUCUUUGUUGUUUCCAUGGAUGAAUUUGUAAGGAGGUCCUUUGAUUCCUUGCAAAUUCAUUGCAUACUGUAUCCGAAGUGGUGUCCACCAAUACUUGUGUAGGAUUUUGAUCAGAGCCAUGACCAGAUACAGGCACAGAGAGCCUGUAAGAAGGGCUGAUAGAUUUGCUGCAAUGGAAGUCAUUUGUAGAACCUGGCAAGGAAAACAGAUUUUCUGAUAAGUUCAUUCCCGAGAUAUAUCAGAUUUAUUACAUCUAGAAGGCGGUCACUUUUGGCCUCAUCUAGAAUUAUGGUCUAAUCAAUAGGUAUAGUCAAAUUCAACCGCAUGAGCAAUAAUUGCAGCCUGUUCAACGUUUCACGUUCACGUGGACAUAACUCAACGAAUAGGAGCAGUGAAAAUUAGUACAAUUUGCAAUAAAGAAAAGGGAAAAAACAAAAGUCAAAGCACGUUAUGUCUGAUGCAGAACAGAACUCUGUCCCGACAGAAAAAUAGUAGUAACCUAACCCAUUGACAAACACAACAAAUAAGUAAAGAUACAACAAAUAAGUAAAGAUUGCGCAUUGGCUUUCAAGAGUUUUACUUCUCCUAGUUGUCUUGUUGAACCUGAGAAGAUCAAUGUUCAAACUAAGGUUAAUUAGCGUUGGGGCUGGGCUUUCACCUCGAAAUCUUCGCCUAGUGCCUUAGACCCAACUUGAAAGUGUCAUCGAGUCUAAGUUUUGAUUCUAAUCAGGUACAAUGUCUAUAUAAGAAGUGUCCAAUAUAUAUGUCGAGGCUGAGAUGGCGAUGGCUUUCAUUUCUUGUGAGAAGCUUCUAUACCACUAGGUAGAACAUGUCAUAAAUUUACAUUAGUUACAAUCUAAACUACCUUUGCCAACGUCACAUCUUGCAAGUUACAGCUAGGAAGGACAAAGUUAUCAUAGUGCUGAUUCCUUGUAUAUGUAAUUUCUUUAUUAAAGUUAUUGAUCCUUGUUAAAAUCAAUCUGAGUUAUGUUUUUUUGGGUUACUUAACUUGAUAAGAGUACAAAAUCAAGUAUGUCAAAAUUCUAGGAUUUGCCGAAGGGUAAGAAAACAGAAAGAAUGACACAAUUGAAUGGUGUAUAUAUCGAGGUGUGAUAAAAAGAAUUCGGAUUCAAAAAUUUAUUUGAAAAAAAUUUGAAUUAUAAUUCACUUAAAUUCGAAUCGGUAAAAAGUUAAAAAAUUUAAACUUCAAAUGAUUUUAAUUUCAAAGUUUAAUUUAAAGUAGUAAUAAUUUAAAUUUAACAUUAAAAAUAACAAAUUUUAUCAAUAUUUAUUUUAAUUUAAUAUAUAUCCGAAUUUAAAUUGAUCUGAAUUCAAAACUAUUCAAACUCGUUGUCACCUGAACUCGAAAUGACUUGAUUUGACACUAGUCGUUUGCCGACUCUAAAAAAUAUUCGCAUACAAAUUAGGAGGCAGGCCAGUAGCAUACUGUCUUGCUGCUGUGAUGUGGUUGCUGAUGAUUGCUUGGCGGACAAGGGACAGGUGAGGGAAUUUCCAAGGCCAUAUUACUGUUUACUUCUAAAAGAUAUUCACAAACAAAUCCAUGCGCAGACAGAGUUGAAACAUUUUUGUUUGGCAUAUUAUACUAAUGAUUGAAAUGCUAUCAGUAUAUUGCCUGGAAUUACAUAUUAAAUGUAGCUGAUUUUGUUCAUACUCCCUAUUGAGAACGGGUAAGAUACCUUAUAAUUUCGAAGUAUCCGAACCCUAAUCCUAUAAAAAAUUAAUUACCUUAACUUUAUUAAAUACCCAAAUAAUUUUAAAAUUAUUACCCUAACCCUAUUACAUUUUUACUAUUUUAUAAUUAUUCUAACCCGUUUAAAAAUCCGAUCAGAUUAAAAAAAUUAUUAAAAUCUUCUUAUCCAAUUACUUAAACCAGUAUACAUAUAUAAUAAUAUUUCUCUACGUAUUUCAUAAAAUUAACUACUAAUUAAAUUAAUAAAAAUAAAAUAAUAAAAUUUAAAUUUAAAUAAUCAAAAAUAAAGAUCUUAAAUAUAAACUUAAAUAAUUAAAAAUAAAUAUCCAUACAACGAUAUAAACUUAUAUAAUUAUACCUAAAUAUCCAAAUAAUAACAUAAGCUUAAAUAACUAAAUACAAAUAUCCAAACAAAUAACAUAAACUUAAAUAACAAAAAAUAUAAUUUUUAUAAUGUUAACACAAAAUAAAAAAUAAAUAUAUUUAAAUUUAAAGUAUAUAUACUAAAAGUAUUAUAGUGUAUAUACAAAAUAAUAAUUAUAUUCUUUAUAAAUGACCAAAUGUAUAUUUAAAGUAUAGAUAUUAAAAGACAUUACAAUUUAAUUAAUAAUCAUAAUUUUAUUAAUUAUAUGAAUUNNNNNNNNNNNNNNNNNNNNNNNNNNNNNNNNNNNNNNNNNNNNNNNNNNNNNNNNNNNNNNNNNNNNNNNNNNNNNNNNNNNNNNNNNNNNNNNNNNNNNNNNNNNNNNNNNNNNNNNNNNNNNNNNNNNNNNNNNNNNNNNNNNNNNNNNNNNNNNNNNNNNNNNNNNNNNNNNNNNNNNNNNNNNNNNNNNNNNNNNNNNNNNNNNNNNNNNNNNNNNNNNNNNNNNNNNNNNNNNNNNNNNNNNNNNNNNNNNNNNNNNNNNNNNNNNNNNNNNNNNNNNNNNNNNNNNNGUAUUUUUGGUUUUGAUGAAAAAAAUCUUAUUAUAAUAAAGAGUUUAUUUUUGUAAUUAUAUAUUACAAAAAUUAAUAUUUUAAAAUUAAAAAUUAACCAAAGUUAUUAAUAUUUUACUCAUAGUAAUAUAUAAAUUAUAAAUAAAAUAUUAAUAUUUUAAAAUUUCAAUAAUUAAAUUAUGAAUAAAAUACAAUUAUUUAAAAAUGUUACUAUUUAGAUUAUAAUUAUUUUAAAAAUUUAUAAAUUAUUAAUAUUUUAAAAAUUUAUAAAUUAUUAAUAUUUAAAAAAUAAAAUAAAUAAUAAAUAAUCGUAUAUUAUAAUAAAUGGAAUUAUUGUCUUUUUAUCAUCUAUUCCUUCAUUAUUUCAAAAUUAUUUUUACCAACAAAACAUUGUAAUAAAUCAUAAUAAUAAUUCCAACAUUAUUCUAUUCCAUCAACCAAACUAUAUAAUAACAUUUUCAUUCUAUUCCUAUCCUAUUCUAUUCCCACAAAAUAUAUAUUUUGUUCCAUUUCAUUUUAUUCCGUGAACCAAAUGUGCCCUUAAUAUUUAGUAAGCGGAAAAGAAUGUCAAUGAAUACCUAUUGGCACUGCCAUUCAAAAAACAAUACGAAUUGGCACUAGCAAAAACUAUUAUUUUUUAAAUGUAAUUAAUGCAUCAUUAAUUAUUCCUAGAAAAAGAAUCAUCUUAAUUUGUGAGUUGCAUUAACUAAGAGCUUGUUUGGCUUGACUUUUUUUCUAACUUAAAAGCUAUUAUGAAGCUCUUAUGAAAAAUAAUAACUUUUAAAAUUAUUCUAAAAUUGUUUGGUAAAUUUUUUUAUAAGUUUUUUUUUAUAAGUUAUAAUUUUAGUUAAAAUUAUCAUAAAAAAUAUUUCUUUUUUUUUGAGAGGGUAAUAUUGUAAUUAUUUUUAACAAAUGAGGAUAUUUUUAAAACAAAAAUAAAAAUUUUCUUGUAUUUUUAAAAGAAGAGGAGAAAAAGCUCAUCCUCGGAGCUUUUUUUUAAGCUCUUUUUUUUUUAAAUUUUGUUUUUAAAAAAAAAAUUACUUUUUUUAAGAGCUUAUCAAAAGAUUAUGUUUGACUUAACUUUUGCUUUUAAGAAGUAGAUAAACUGAAAAAAAGUUAAGCCAAACAUACACUAAGGCUAUGGCUUUUGUCAGCUCAUGAAGGAGUCAUAGCUGCAUUGGCUGUAUCACCUGUGAAAAGGGCUGGUUUCUUCUGCCAGUCAUGAUCACAAGUUUGUCAAAUUGUGGAAGUGAUACGAUUGCUAGCAGAAUUCCCAAGUUUUAAUCAGCAACGAUUGUUGGUUUGUAGCUGUUCAGGUUGCUCAAAGGUGUCCAUUUUGUGGUUUGUCCCAAUGUAACUAACCUUGUCUGUUGUAUGCAUGCUAUGCAACCUUGUGUCGUUAAUGGUUAACUUGCACAUUCUUGCUUAAAUUCAUCAACAUUUUCUACAAAAAAAAAAAAUAAAGAAUAAUAAUACUGAAUUGUGACACUACACUUUAAUUGUAUUGAAUUUUGUAAUCAUACUUUUUAUUUCCAUUAGACUCCAUAAAUGAAAUAUUUCAGUAUAACAUUCUUUAAUCUUUAUUUUUCAUUCGAAAAUAACUAAAACAAAACUAGUUAAAAUAAAAUAACAGUGACAAAAUUUAAUGCAAUUGAAACACAAUUGCAAGAUUCAAAUUUGGUAUCUAUCUUAAGAUUUUUAUUCACCAUGCCAUGAGGUUAUUUGGUUCAUGAUAUUCACAAAAUGGCUACAGAAAUUUAGAAGCUGAGAAGCCUUAGAUUGUUUACUAGGAGCAGAGCUAGGAUAUAUCAGGGUUCACCUAGUCCUUGUACUGUAGAUAAAUAGAAUUUUCAAUAUAAAUCAAUAGUAUGCCAUAAUUUAGUAUGAUUUCUAUCAUUUCAUUUAAAUUUUUCCGGGUAGAUUUAUAACUAACGUCAAUCUUUACCAAUAAUGGAGCCAAGGUCUAUGCUCAAUCUGGGCAAAGUCAUUUCUCCUUCUGCAAGUCUCUCUGGUUUGAAAACAUGAACAUCUUCAACCCCAUAUCUCAGGGUCAUGGUGAAGUGCUGGAGUUGUAAUGAACAAUUCAGUAUUUUCUUCUUGGAGAAUUUUGUUACAGAAAAAAAAUAUGCCUGGACAAUCAUACUGAUCUCUGAUCAAGAUCUACAACAAUAUCGGAAUAUAAGAGGAAAUAGUACUCAGAGGAGCACCAUCUUCAUACUUGAUUGCUAAAACAUUUUGUUCCAAUACCAUCAUUUACUAUUACAUGGAUAGAAACAAGGACAAAUUAAUCAACAUCACUGACUGGGGUGAGUUACUGGCUGCGGCCUCUGUAAGCAACUGAUCUACAAGGCAUUAUUCCAUUGACAACUCUAGGCUUCAUUCUACAGAGAAUGAAGUAUUACCUGAAUUCCAUGUUGUGGCUGAAGCAAAAGAAGGGUAAAUGGUGAGUGGCUGUAGGUUGGGGAAAGGGAAAUGUUGUAUCGCUGUAGAAUCAUGGAAAGAGCAAUCUUUGUUUCUGUCAUUGCAAAGCUCAUACCGACACAAGAUCGAGGUCCCAAUCCAAAGGGAACAUAUGCAGCUGCAUUAUGUUUGGUGGCAUUGGCGAUCCCUUCUG